rfam:Porphyromonas endodontalis ATCC 35406 contig00032, whole genome shotgun sequence.
AUACAAGAUUAUAAAAACAACUCAGUGUUUUUUUCUUUGAAUGAUGUCGUUCACAAACUUUGAUCAGGGCGUGAGCGACUCCUUUUUAUUUUGUU